GUGUGUGUGUGUUUAAUUAAGCUGACCACAGAGGGGUUUCCUGGACAGAGCCCGAUGAAGACAUACCAGACGGUAUGUGUAUGGACCCAGAGGGUGUCAGUGGGUCGCCUGCUACCAUGGCGGAAGAGAUUUGUGCAUUGACCCACAAACAGGCACCCGACUGCAGACUGUGAAACUGGUAGGAGAAGACCACCUCGUGUUGUGCUGGUGGAAAGGAUCACGCUGAUCUGUACAUCACCAUCAUGCCGUUUAAAGACAUGGAUGGAAAUUCACUGGCCAUACAGCCUUCGACACAUAACAUCCUUUAUUCUCACCGCAGGUCACGGGUGUGGGAGUGACAGCCAUUCCAUUGUUCUCGUGUACUGGAUAAAAACCAAGAAGACAGCGAUGAUGCUUGUUGAUACGUUACCAUUUUUUCUGAUGAAUCAGUAUUGAUUAUUUGAUUAUACCGUUGUAACCGUGCAACCGUCGCUUUAAUGCAGGAUAACGUGGGACGGAUGAAAAUCUUUGUUUCGUGGUAUUACACACAGGAAAAUAUUUGCCUUAAACUGAUUUGAUAGACCCGAUCAGUGCAUAUAAAAUAAAAUUAUUCACAAAUCCACUUUUUAGACGUGACCUCACAAAAGUAAAACAAUUGUAAACGUUUUCUAAUCCUGCUUACAUUAACCCAACUCUGUGAACAAAAGUAUUCAUGAAUGAUUUCCAGGGAUGGAUUUGAUAGCGAUCCUGAUUCCACAUUUGCCAUGUUUAUUAUUGAUCAUCUCAACGUGGGGCAAAAGGUGGACUUCAUGUUUGUGUGAAUCUUAAACAUUCCCCUAGAAAGUGAAGAAAACGCUGGAUUGACAUUUUUGGUAAUCUGCUGUAUUUAAAUGAGUUUGAAUCCCAGUGAUGUUUUAAAAGGCUGUAGCGCUUUAAUCACGAAAGCGCACGCCUCCAUAUAAAGAUAUUUUCUUGUA